rnacentral:rRNA from 1 species
AUGAACGCUAGCUACAGGCUUAACACAUGCAAGUCAGGGGAAACGAUAUUGGAAGCUUGCUUCCGAUAGGCGUCGACCGGCGCACGGGUGAGUAACGCGUAUCCAACCUGCCCAUCACUUGGGAAUAACCUUGCGAAAGUAAGACUAAUGCCCAAUGACAUUUAUAGAAGGCAUCUGAAAUGAAUUAAAGAUUUAUCGGUGAUGGAUGGGGAUGCGUCUGAUUAGCUUGUUGGCGGGGUAACGGCCCACCAAGGCGACGAUCAGUAGGGGUUCUGAGAGGAAGGUCCCCCACAUUGGAACUGAGACACGGUCCAAACUCCUACGGGAGGCAGCAGUGAGGAAUAUUGGUCAAUGGGCGAGAGCCUGAACCAGCCAAGUAGCGUGCAGGACGACGGCCCUAUGGGUUGUAAACUGCUUUUAUAAGGGAAUAAAGUGAGUCUCGUGAGACUUUUUGCAUGUACCUUAUGAAUAAGGACCGGCUAAUUCCGUG